rnacentral:lncRNA from 1 species
CUCAACUAACAAAAAAUUAUAAAAGAGAAAACUUAAGAUUAUAUUUCCUACAAUAUUUAAAAUCUAACUAGAAGGAAAUUGAUAUUGUAAUGCUUAAACAAGCUUAAAAAAUCUAAAUAACUUAAAAACAUAAAAUCACUGGAGAGUUUAUCUUUGGUGUGGGAAUCUGAUGCUCUAUAUCCCCCUCACGAUGAGGGGAUUAAAGGACACACACAUCUUGCUGUAAAGUAGCUGGUGCAAGCUUUAGACAGAGGUUGGCAAGAUCAUAUGCAAGCUGGUCCUUGUUUGAGAUGUGCAAAACAUCUUCACAUAGAAAAUGAUAAUUACCGACAAUAUUUUCACGCGUAUGGGGAACUGGAUUAGCAAAAAAGUAAGUUCUAGAAACAUUGUCAUAGAAGAGCAAUGAUGCAUGUGAGAUUGUUACUCAUGGUUCAAAAAGUAGAGAUUAAAUCUGUAGAAGUUCAGAAGGAGCAGAGGUGACUGCUUCCUGUUCGGCCUCUAAGGAAGAAUGAGGAAUGGUCGGGAGUUGUUGCCAAAAAGUCUAUGAAGGCAGAGGUAGAGUGAAAAGUAUCUCAACUGCCAUUCCAAUCAGCAUCACUGAAGGCAAAAAAGAAAAAGCUGCAGGUUGGAGGACAAGGCCAUCAGUAAUAGUGCCAUUUAGGAAAUAAUACUGGUGCUUCAGGGUAGCCCAUGCAAUUGGAUGGUGCAUAUAUUGUUCACGGGGAAUGCAAUAGGGUAUGUGAAGGAUAAGUACCAAAAAGACACAAGAAUGCUGUGGUGGUCAGUGGCAUUGCCGAUAGAAAAUGAUCAAUCCACAUGGAAAUAACCAGUGGCAGCAAUUGGUGUUUUGUUGAUGAGGCGAAAUAUUUCAGUGUGCUUACCUCCUACGUGUUGAUGGAAGCUGUUAAAAACCACAUUGGCUUUGAGGUGGAGCAGGAGCCAUAUGGGUUUUGAUUUAUCUGCAAGACCCAUUUAAAACCAGUGACACUGCAAUUUGGAGGAAAUUCUACCAAUUCUCGUCUACCAUUGUGGAUGAGAACAUUGAAUUGUUCUGUGAGUCUGUCUCCACUGGAGAUUAUGGAGAGCUUGCAAAAUCUUGGUAGACUCAAGGGACUAGGGUGGUGGAGGUUGGUUGAGACUUUUAAUGAACUUAGGUUUGGAGAUGUAAUUUGUAAAUGUGUGACAAUAGGGUGCGAGCAAGAGGUACGGAUGUGGAUAGGAGGUGCAAGUUGAGCAGUUGUGGCAGUAGUACCAAGAGUCAGAAGAGCCCAACUCAUCUUUAAAAGUAGUAGCGGUAGAAGACUAGAGGCAUAUGGUGGCAGAUAUGGCAAUGCCACCAAAAAAAUGGAGUUGUUUGACCCUAGACAGGAACUAUUUGUAUUCAAUGAGCUUUUCAUGAAGCUCUUCAAACGUGACGAAGGAUUCAAGAGUUUUGAUUGCUGCAACAAUAUCUUUAUUCUCACAACCAACAUCAUUCAAAAUGUAAGUAGUUUGAUCAUCAUUGGACAUUGGAGCAUCAACCAAUGCCAGUUCAUUGGCUGUUGCUCAUAUGGAUUGAAGCUAAUCAUCAAGAUUUUUGGAGCCUUUGAGUAGGGUAAGUUUCUUCUUCAAAUGCAUUACCUGAGAACUGGAAUUGCUUGCAAACAGCCGCUCAAGCUUCAACCAAGCCUCACAAGAGGAUGGACUAUUGCAAUGAAAGAAAUAAAACCUUCUGAAACAAAUGCCAAAAUGGCAUGAAGAAGAAGAUCUUGCCAUUGCUAGACGACAUAGCCAGGAUUAGAGACAAGCUACGAAUUCUGAGUGACAAUCGGUGGGUAUUCAGUGGUUCCAUCUGUUUAGCCAAGAGGAUCUAUGCCAAAUAAUAGUGUAAUUAAUUGAGCACGCCAGGCACGACAAUUGUAAGGAUUAAAAAAGCAACUAAGAAGAGGCAUUGAUAGAGAGCAAAGCAGAGUCGUCUGCAGUAGGGACAAUUUAAGCUGCAAUAAGGGUUGGAGUCGCGAAGGAGGUUGUUUCUUGGGUAUUUAUCAUGGCUAAUACGGGGAGGUUGUUUCUGGGUAUUUAUCAUGGCUAAUACGGGGAGGUUGUUUCUGGGUAUUUAUCAUGGCUAAUGUGCUUGAAAGACUUGGAAUUGUUAAGGUAAUUCAAGCUUUGAUACCAAAGAGGGAAAGAAAGUGUGGAAGAAUGGAAUUGUGGGUUUACUAUUGAAUAAUGAGCCUAUA